GACGAACGCUGGCGGCGUGCUUAACACAUGCAAGUCGAACGGUGAAGGGAUCAGCUUGCUGGUUCUGGAUGAGUGGCGAACGGGUGAGUAACACGUGAGUAACCUGCCCCCUUCUUCUGGAUAACCGCAUGAAAGUGUGGCUAAUACGGGAUAUUCUGCGCCUGCUGCAUGGUGGGUGUGGGAAAGAUAUUGUUUCGGUGGGGGAUGGGCUCGCGGCCUAUCAGCUUGUUGGUGGGGUGAUGGCCUACCAAGGCGGUGACGGGUAGCCGGCCUGAGAGGGGGGACGGUCACACUGGGACUGAGACACGGCCCAGACGCCUACGGGAGGCAGCAGUGGGGAAUAUUGCACAAUGGGCGCAAGCCUGAUGCAGCGACGCCGCGUGAGGGAUGGAGGCCUUCGGGUUGUGAACCUCUUUCGCCAGUGAAGCAGGCCUGUCCCUUGUGGGUGGGUUGACGGUAGCUGGAUAAGAAGCGCCGGCUAACUACGUG
rnacentral:rRNA from 1 species